UGUCAAGUCGGAUGUGAAAUCCCCGGGCUCAACCUGGGAACUGCAUUCGAAACUGGCAGGCUUGAGUCUUGUAGAGGGGGGUAGAAUUCCAGGUGUAGCGGUGAAAUGCGUAGAGAUCUGGAGGAAUACCGGUGGCGAAGGCGGCCCCCUGGACAAAGACUGACGCUCAGGUGCGAAAGCGUGGGGAGCAAACAGGAUUAGAUACCCUGGUAGUCCACGCCGUAAACGAUGUCUACUUGGAGGUUGUGCCCUUGAGGCGUGGCUUCCGGAGCUAACGCGUUAA
rnacentral:rRNA from 3 species